rnacentral:rRNA from 1 species
UACGUAGGGGGCAAGCGUUGUCCGGAAUUAUUGGGCGUAAAGCGCGCGCAGGCGGUUCUUUAAGUCUGGUGUCUAAGUGCGGGGCUCAACCCCGUGUCGCACUGGAAACUGGGGGAACUUAGUGCAGAAGAGGAGAGCGGAAUUCCAACGUGUAGCGGUGAAAUGCGUAGAGAUGUGGAGGAACACCAGUGGCGAAGGCGGCUCUCUGGACUGUAACUGGACGCUGAAGGCGCGAAAAGCGUGGGGGAGCAAAACAGG